UCAUUUCAAUAGGAGCAAAAUGCUAUCCUUCCAAUAAAAAAUUUUAGAAUACAACUAGUAUAUUGAUGACGUGGCGUAACAAAUCAAUCAAAUAUCUCAUUUUAGAUAUAUAUAUCACAUCAUUGAUGAUUGUAAAAAAAAUAUUUUUAUUAUAUUUUUUUUUGAAAAGAAGGAAUGUGAUUGACUUAUUAUUAAUCACAUGGUGUAAAUAUGAUAGUGUAGAUUUUUUUCUUUCCAUGGGUUAAUAUAUGUUGCAUGUA
rnacentral:lncRNA from 1 species